AUUGAACGCUGGCGGCAGGCCUAACACAUGCAAGUCGAACGAGUGGCGGACGGGUGAGUAAUGUCUGGGAAACUGCCUGAUGGAGGGGGAUAACUACUGGAAACGGUAGCUAAUACCGCAUACCAUCGGAUGUGCCCCGAUGGGAUUGGCUAGUGGGUGGGGUAAAGGCUCACCGAGGCGGCGAUCCCUAGCUGGGCUGGGAGGAUGACCAGCCACACUGGAACGUGGACACGGUCCAUAGGACUGCGGGAGGGAGCAGUGGGGAACAUUGAACAACGGGCGCAAGCCUGAUGCAGCCAUGCCGCGUGUAUGAAGGAGGCCUUCGGUUUGUAAAGUCCUUUCUGCGGGGAGGCGUUACCCGCAGAAGAAGCACCGGCUAACUCCGUGCCAGCAGCCGCGGUAAUUC
rnacentral:rRNA from 1 species